CCCUUAGAUGUUCUGGGCAGCACGCGCGCUACAAUGGUCUUCGCAAACGGAUGCAUUCUCGAAGGAGAAUGCCAAUCUUGGAAUCUAUGCCUUGGUCGGGACAGUUGCUUGCAAUUUUUCGACUCGAACCAGGAAUUCCUUGUAAUCGUGAUUCAUCACAUCACGAUGAAUACGUCCCUGCCCUUUGUACACACCGCCCGUCGCUCCUACCGAUCGAAGAGUUAGGUGAAUUGUUAUGAUCGAUAAGAUUUGACUAUGGUCAACUCUCGUUGUGAAAUUCUGUGAAUCUGACUGUUUAGAGGAAGGAAAAGUCGUAACA
rnacentral:rRNA from 1 species